AACGUAGGUUCCGAGCGUUAUCCGGAUUUACUGGGCGUAAAGCGCGUUCAGGCGGUUUGGCAAGUCGGGCCUGAAAUCUCUCGGCUCAACCGGGAGAGGUUGUCCGAUACUUCCAGACUUGAGGGCAGUAGAGGGUGGUGGAAUUCCGGGUGCAGUGGUGAAAUGCGUAGAUAUCCGGAGGAACACCAGUGGCGAAAGCGGCCACCUGGACUGCACCUGACGCUGACACGCGAAAGCUAGGGGAGCGAACGGG
rnacentral:rRNA from 1 species